GAUGAACGCUGGCGGCGUGCCUAAUACAUGCAAGUCGAACGGAGCGAGGACGGGUGAGUAACACGUGGAUAACCUUCUCUAAGGCUGGGAUAACUUCGGGGAACCGGAUCUAAACCGGCCCCUUAUAGCUGGUUCAGCGCUGCAUUAGCUAGUUGGUAAGGUAACGGCUUACCAAGGCAACGAUGCAUAGCCGACCUGAGAGGGUGACCAGCCAAACUGGAACUGAGACACGGUCCAGACUCCUACGGGAGGCAGCAGUAGGGAAUCUUGCGCAAUGGGCGAAAGCCUGACGGAGCAAUGCCGCGUGAGUGAUGAAGGUCUUCGGAGUGUAAAGCUCUGUUAGUAGGGAAGCGGUACCUAAUCAGAAAGCCACGGCUAACUACGUGCCAGCAGCCGCGGUAAUUC
rnacentral:rRNA from 1 species